rnacentral:rRNA from 1 species
AUGCCUACCUUCACUGGUGCGUUCUUGGCUGUGCCAGAGUGGACACUUCAGCACUGGCUCCACGACUAUGUUGAGGACAUCAAAUUGAUGGAUCGAGGGGGCAGGAGGUGGAGGACGGCACGCGGCGGCGGGGAUGGAUGUGCCGGCGAUGGGGACGCUAUUGGGGAUCCGGCGCCAACAGGUCGCGUCGCGGCUCGACGUUCCCGACGGCAGACAGGUCGCCCGCGCCCCCGUCAGGCUCCAAGACCGCCACAACGGCGAAAUGGCCCCGCCUCUGUCGACUGGUGUAGUUUGGACAGGAGCAAGUGCGCCAAUUAA